rnacentral:rRNA from 1 species
UACGUAGGGUGCAAGCGUUGUCCGGAAUUAUUGGGCGUAAAGAGCGCGUAGGCGGCGCUGUACGACCCGUGUGAAAGCCCCCGGCUCAACUGGGGAGGGUCACGGGUAACGGCAGUGCUCUGAGUGCAGGAGAGGGAAGUGGAACUCCGGGAGUAGCGGUGAAAUGCGUAGAGACCCGGAGGAACACCAGUGGCGAAGGCGGCGUCCUGGCCUGCGACUGACGCUGUGGCGCGAAAGCUAGGGGAGCGAACGGG